UACGUAUGGGGCAAGCGUUAUCCGGAUUUACUGGGUGUAAAGGGAGCGCAGGCGGCCUGGCAAGCCUGAUGUGAAAUACCGGGGCCCAACCCCGGGGCUGCAUUGGGAACUGCCAGGCUGGAGUGCCGGAGAGGCAGGCGGAAUUCCUAGUGUAGCGGUGAAAUGCGUAGAUAUUAGGAGGAACACCAGUGGCGAAGGCGGCCUGCUGGACGGUGACUGACGCUGAGGCUCGAAAGCGUGGGGAGCAAACAGG
rnacentral:rRNA from 1 species